rnacentral:rRNA from 1 species
GUGAGGAAUAUUGGUCAAUGGGCGCGAGCCUGAACCAGCCAAGUCGCGUGAGGGAUGACGGCCCUACGGGUUGUAAACCUCUUUUGUCGGGGAGCAAAUUCCGUUACGUGUAACGGAGUCGAGAGUACCCGAAGAAAAAGCAUCGGCUAACUCCGUGCCAGCAGCCGCGGUAAUACGGAGGAUGCGAGCGUUAUCCGGAUUUAUUGGGUUUAAAGGGUGCGUAGGCGGACUGUCAAGUCAGCGGUAAAAUACGGGGGCUCAACCUCCGCCCGCCGUUGAAACUGACGGUCUUGAGUGGGCGAGAAGUAUGCGGAAUGCGUGGUGUAGCGGUGAAAUGCAUAGAUAUCACGCAGAACUCCGAUUGCGAAGGCAGCAUACCGGCGCCCAACUGACGCUGAAGCACGAAAGCGUGGGUAUCGAACAGGAUUAGAAACCCUAGUAGUCC